rnacentral:lncRNA from 1 species
AUGGAGAUUGCACAAUGGACCUAUUGCUUCAAAGGAGAGUCACACAACACUCCCCAGCCACUGUGUUGACAGCCCUGGGCUGGAGGAAAGGCAGCAGUCUUCACAGAGCUCACUUUACGGCUGGGCUCACCCUUCACCCCAAGACAGCUUUGAUCACUGGGAAGUUUCCACAAACACAGAAUGAAUGAGGAAGAAGGUGAUUAUAUUUUCGGUGUGAUCCACGUGGACGAGAGGCAGGUGUUGCAUGUUUUUACAAAUUGAAGAUCUGUGACAACCCUGGGUCAAGCAAGUCUAUCAGUGCCAUUCUUCCAACACGUUAGUAUACUCACUUUGCAGACGAGGAGACUGAGUCCUGGAGGUAGGUGUAUAUGCUGGAGCAGCUGUACUUAAGUCCAGAAAUAAGAAGAUAUUUGAUCUGAGGACUCAGGAGAGAGCAUGGCUGCUGCAUAGAUGGUGCCUUCCAUCGCUUGACAUAGGGAAGCCCAGCCAAAGCCUGUGUCUUGGGCAGCCGGGGAGCUCUCAGGAUGGCUUGAAAUCUCCCACAUGGCCUGGGCCUGUUCUCCUUCCCCUCCAGGUAGGGUUAUCAGAUAAAUUAAAGAAAUACAUAAUUAAAUUAGAAUUUCAGAGAUGUAACAAAUACUUUUUUAACAUAAGUAUAGCUUAGGCAAUAUUUGGGAUAUACUUAUACUAAACAUUUAUUUGUCAUUUAUCCAAAAUUCAAAUGCAAUGAACAUUCUAUCUUUUUAUUUGCUAAAUGUGGAAACCCUUCCUCCAGUUGGCCACUUGCCACUUAACUGACUUGUUAUGAUAUUUUUGUUAUAAUUUUUUUCUGAUUAUGAAAAUAAUGCACUCUUAUUACAGAAAAUCUUUAAAAAUACUCUCCUGGGUGCAGUCAAAGCUUCACUCCCUACACCCUACUGAACUAUCAGCUGACUGAUUCCCACUUGUCCAUGCCCCAGGACCCCACAGAAGCUCCACAUGCUUCCACAAGCUGAUGCACCAGUUCCAAGAGGAGGAAGAAAAGCUGGCACUCAGCCUUUAUUUCUCCCCAAACACCACAGUCAUUCAAUUCUGAAAAAAAAAAAAAAAAAAAAACCCAUUGCUUUGAAAAACAUAAAAUGAGAUCUAUCAAACAGCAUCUUGUAUUUUAAAGUGGAAAGAAUGGACUUUGGAAUCAUCUUUGGCAGCUAAUAGGCUGGGACACGCAGAGAAAGAGCUUGCCUGCCUCUGCAGACAUUCCUUGGACGAGUGGUUCUAAAUCCCAGCUACACACUCAAAUAGCUGCAGGAGGUUUAAAAACUGUCAAAUCUCCCAGCCCCUGCCCAGCCCAGUCAAUAUUUAUCUCAGGAGGAGGAGCCCUAAAACCAGUGUCUUUUCACAGAGCUCCCUACAUGACUUUGAUGUGUGGCCAGGUGAUAUCUCCUGAGUUCGGAGACACUGAUGCUAUCACUCACACCUAGUCAAAUGAGAGGAGUCGGGGAUGACAGAAGAAUGCAGGCAACUUACCUACCUGAAGCUGGGGCCUCAAGGUCACCAUGCCCUUGAGUGAGCCCUGUAUGGGUCUACCUUGUGUCUGAUGGUUCUCAGCAGGCACAGCUUCUCUUCAGGGCUUCUGCCGACAUCUUCCCUGCAUGUGGAAAAUGGCCUGGGGUCCCCUUAGACUCAGCUCAUGUCCUCCCCUUUGCUCAGGUUCCCUCUGAGUCCCGGUACCCGCCCAUGCUGCAGACCUCCUCAUGACUCCUUCCUCCCUGAGGCCUGGCCAUCUGCACACCCCCAUCCUAUCCUGUCAGCUUGUUUUUUGUCUCUUUGGUGACCAGACAUGAACCCCUCAAGGCUGUUCCCUCCACAUCCCCAGCGCUCAGUUUCAGGCCAGCCCAGGGCAGGAUGCACCUCGUGCAGACCAAGGGAAAGAGCCAGCAGCUGCUUCACAUGAGCCUGUCCUCUGCACCUGAAGAGAAUCUUUGGAAGGCCAGCGCCCCCACUUGUCCUGAAGGUGGAGGGGCUGUUCCCUCUAGCCCACACCUGUCAUUCUAGGACUAACUUUCACUUUUUGGAAGCCAGAGCCACUCCCGACCAUUCAGGGCCUUUCAGCAUUCGGAAGGGACAGUGACUCCUCCUUAGAUACCACAUGUAGGACAGGAGGGAAGUUCAAGAGUGGUGUCAAGGGCCAGAGACAGGGAAGCUGGGGGGUCUGAAAGAAGCUUCCAGGAGAUGUCUUCACUGCAAAAUACCAUACACCAAGGGGCUACAGGCUAAAACAAGACAUGUAUUUCUCACAGUUCUGGAGGUUGGGUGUUGGGGAUUAAGGUGCCAGCCAGCAUGGUGGGUCCCUGGUGAGGACUCUCUUCCUGGCUCACAGGUAGCCGACUUCUCACUGUGUCCUCACAUGUGGGAAAGAAAG